AGCUCCAAUAGCGUAUAUUAAAGUUGUUGCAGUUAAAAAGCUCGUAGUUGGAUUUUGGGUUUGGUUUUAGUUCGGUUUACUUAUUGUAAUACUGUCUAGGCCGCCCUUCUUCUCGAGGCCUCUGGGUGCACUUAACCGUGUGUUCAGAGUGUUCGGGACUUUUACCGUGAGAAAAUUAGAGUGUUCAAAGCAGGCUUUUGCUUGAAUAUUGCAGCAUGGAAUAAUGGAAUAGGAUCAUGAUCUUAUUUUGUUGGUUUCUAAGAUCAAGAUAAUGAUUAAUAGGGAUAGUUGGGGGCAUUAAUAUUUAGUUGUCAGAGGUGAAAUUCUUAGAUUUACAAAAGAUUAACUUCUGCGAAAGCAUUUGCCAAGGAUGUUUUCGUUAAUCAAGAACGAAAGUAGG
rnacentral:rRNA from 1 species